rnacentral:rRNA from 1 species
AUUGAACGCUGGCGGCAUGCCUUACACAUGCAAGUCGAACGGCAGCACGGGGGCAACCCUGGUGGCGAGUGGCGAACGGGUGAGUAACACAUCGGAACGUGCCCAGUAGUGGGGGAUAGCUCGGCGAAAGCCGGAUUAAUACCGCAUACGACCUACGGGUGAAAGCGGGGGAUCGCAAGACCUCGCGCUAUUGGAGCGGCCGAUGUCAGAUUAGGUUGUUGGUGGGGAAAGGCCUACCAAGCCGACGAUCUGUAGCUGGUCUGAGAGGACGACCAGCCACAGUGGAACUGAGAGACGGUCCACACACCUACGGGUGGCAGCAGUCGAGGAUCUUGGACAAUGGGCGCAAGCCUGAUCCAGCGACGCCGCGUGAGGGAUGAAGGUCUUCGGAUUGUAAACCUCUGUC